AUUAGAGAGAGCCUUUUCAGCUUUACGUUCUCUGAUUCUUCUAUCUAUACUAAUAGAGAGUUGAAUUAAUGUAUCAAGCGUUGGGGGAAGAGUGGUUCUAGAUAAUUCAUCUUUAACUGUUUCAGAUAAUCCUAAACGGAACUGAUUACGUAGAGCUAUAUCAUUCCAUUGGGUUUCUGAAGCCCAUCUUUUGAACUCAGCUAUAUAAUCCUCCACAGGACGAUUUCUUUGUUGUAAUAAUCUAAUAGUAAGAUCAGCAGUAGCUUGUUUAUUAGGGUCCUCAUAAAGUAAUGACAUUGACUCAAUAAAAUUAUCUAAAGAAUCCAAAAUAGGAUCUUCAUUUUCCAGAAAUGAAAGUGCCCAAGACAUAGGUUCAGCCCUUAAGUAGGAAAUUAUUGAACAAACCUUAAUUCUGUCUGAGGAGUAAGCCCUGGGUUUGAGAGUAAACAAUAAUUUGCAUGAAUUAAAAAAUUCUCUAUAUUUAGAGCGAUCUCCAUAAAAUAUUUCAGGAUUGCAGACAGCAGGGUCACUUGAAGAAUGUGUAACUUUAUUUUGCAUUUCUCUAAUAUAGGAAAGAAGUCUCUCAUUAGCAAUUUGCAAAUCCUGCAUGCCUUGUGUGAGUAUUUCAACCCUGUGGUUUAAAUAGGUAAUUUGGGAAUUCACAUCUGCUGGUUCCAUUUUUAGGCUUGGUGAUUCUGUUAUGCUACUUGGGUUAUUUGGAUUGGAACUCAACUGCAGCUUGUAGAACUCCUUAAUUACAAUAGUAAAGAAACGAAGAAUCUUUAAAGUAUCAAUACUGUAGCUUUAAGAAAAGAGAGGAUUGCUGGCAAUUUGAGAAUCAAACAAAGUUUUAAUGAUUGAUAAACUUACAUGAAUUGCAUAUAGGCAAUAAUCCAAUAAGAAGAAAGUGCAGGUUAUCAAACAAUACAAAGUUCAUUAAUAAGUAUUUCCUCAGAGAAGUUUUUAAUAAGAUUCUUUAGGUUGCUGGGAAUAAUCUUCAAUAGAAACAUUAAGCAGGUAGCAGAGAGUAUUUGCAAAGCAAGAAACAGUUCAUAGUAAAUAAGCAUGAUGGGAGUUGUCCUCCAUAUAAUUAGUAACUUGAAGCAGAGAAGAUUUGAGCAAGCAGGAAUUGGUUCAUUAAUAAAUGAUAUUGCAGACAAUAGUUGAAAGAUAUACUUAAGGUUAAGGUGAGUUGUCCUCCAAGAGUUCAGAGUUAUAGUCCACUUGUAAAUUAGCAAAGUAUCCGUAAUUCUCCAGUAAUCCUCUAUGGCUUGCAGCAAUCCUUGCAUUGGCUCAAAGGCUGGGACGGCUUGUGGAGCCGGUGUGUAUACCCGGAAGUAGGUCCCACAAUCACCUUCUUCCUGGCGCGGUCUCCCUAAGUACUGUCAGAGCCGCGUCAGAAGGGGGCGGGGCCGGCUCCGCAAUGCGGAAGUGCCGAACCCGGAAGAGAUACCGCAUGACAGUGAGGGUGCUGUUAGUGUCUGCUGUGUGUGUGUGUGUGUGUAUGUGUGAGGGUGCUGUUAGUGUGUGUGCUAUGUGUGUGUGGGUGCUGUUCAUGUGUAUUGUGUGGUGUGGGGACCGUUUAGUUAAUAUCCCCCCUCCCUUUUUACCUUUUGUAGGGAGUGGGGACUGUGCUGCUGCCAUCCCUGUGAGGCUAGAGUUCACUCUCGCGAGAUCUGAGCAUUGCCGCGGCAACGCUCCAACCUCGCGAGAGGAACCCGGCGGAGCUCUCCCUCACGGUCCACAGGCAGGGAGGCACAUAGUGCGGGCCGCAGGGAUUAGGGUGUGCCCAGGCACACCCCGUGCGCACACCUAUGAUGGCAAGUGACUAAUUCUUCCUACAUUGCAAAUGAUAAUGGCAAUGGGUCUGCCUUCCUGCACGAUAGGAAUGAUGUUAAAUGGUUGUUUUCCUUUAUUGCAGUUAAAGUAACACUAUAAGGGGAACGUUACCCUCUAUAUUCUGUUAAUAAACAAUGCAAAAGAAAACAAAAAGCACUUUAAAUGUAACUCCAUAUGCACUUUUUAUUGGGUCUGCCUGCAGUUACCGGCUUAUCAUCCUCUUUCAGGAGUUUGUGAGAUAAAUAGUUUACCCUCCAAGAGAAGUUCUGCUCAUUUCUUAGGAUAAGUAAAACUGCUCUGUAAAACCAUUGCAGCUCUACUGUUGUCAGUUUAGUCAUAGUCUACUUCACUGUUUAAAUAGACACUAUAGGCACACCGACCACUUCAUCUUAAAGACGAAAAAAUGUGCUCUUUGUCACUACCUUAUUGGAAAUUGUCUUAAAAAAGUUUUUUUUCAGGUAUAUGUCAAUCCUCAAUUAAUAAGUCAAAGAAACUGCGAUGGGUGCGAAUACGUUACCAUCGUAUGCAAACCUUUUUAUGACAGAUUUAGCUUUGUGUUAGCGACAACAGCGUAGUCAAUAAACGCUUGACAGAUCUCUCACAAACGUUUUUGGGCAAGGGUAAUAGCCCCCGCCUGUUACAAAAAGGUAAACAGAAGGCCUUGGGCAUUAACCGUGAGAAACUACUUUCUACAACAGACAAACCCAAACAGGACAGAAUACCAUUUGUAAGUACUUUCUAAUCACUUGCACCUGAAAUACAGAACAUUAUACGUAAUAACUGGUUUAUAUUACAACCUGAUAAACACACUGGACAUCUAUUUCAGAAUCCCCCAUGAUUUGCUAAUAUUUGCUAAUAAACUCGGAUGAUCUAUAAGAGAUAUAAUAGUUAGGGCUGACUGUCUGACUAACACUAAACAAACUUCUCUUUCAAAACCAGUGCAUGGGACAUACCCUUAAUUGAGCUGCAGUCAUUGCAGUGGGAUUAUUAAGGGUGAAUUUUGCACCUACCCCAGGACAGGCCAACAGAUCAGGCUUAAAGGGUUUUUCACAUGCCAGAUUUACAUGUGAUUUAUCUUCUUAAGUGUCCGUGUGGUCUGGGCUAUGUGGGUAAAACUAUAUGUGCCCUAAAAGUCUGAUCCGUAGUAUAGACUACUGACGCACCAGUCGCACGGCACUUUAAAGAAAAAAGGCAUAACGUCUCACAGUUACCAAGUGCUUGAAAAGGUGCCGGUGCCCCUACUUACUAGAGAAGGUGCAUCUAGUAUGUGCCCGAUUUGGAUUUGGAUUUGGCUAUGUAUCUUAUCUUGCAUGGUCCUCUAUUACUAUUUGCCAGUCUGUCUCUCUUUACUUACCUUUGUUUUUUUCCAUCUUUUUUGGCAUGCUGUAUAGCUUUCUUUUAGAGAGGGUGUUCUUUUUAUAUUUUAUUUUCACUCCAUGUUCAAGGUUUCAUUAGGUAAAUGGGCGUUUUGCACCUGUAUGUAUGUUGGGUAUCCUUUGUCAGCUGUUUGGUCUCUCUUGCUUCCCCCUUUUGCCUAUAAAUAUAAAUAUGUAGACACAGCGUUGUUCUUAAGAGUGAAGCUUAAAUUUAUGUUUUCAGGAGAUUGAAUAGCUUUGUUUUAUGUAGAUUUGAUGAUCUGUAUGGUUAAUUCCACUGUAUGCAUUUGAACGAUCGUUUAUUUACUCAUCUCCUAGCAACAGAGCAUGAUUAUGUCACGCGCAACAGACGUGGCACGCGUCUGACAAUCGAGGAAGUCACUGGAGAUGUGGUGAUCGCCGGGUGAUGCGGAGAACCUCCAUAGAGCUGAUUCUGAUUGAAGUUUGAUUGCUGGGGGCGGCACUUUGGUUUUUGUGAGCAAUUUCUUAUGUAUAAGAAUGUAUCACAUUGUUGUAUGUAUCACAUUG